GAUGAACGCUGGCGGCGUGCCUAAUACAUGCAAGUCGAGCGAACGGACGAGAAGCUUGCUUUUCUGAUGUUAGCGGCGGACGGGUGAGUAACACGUGGAUAACCUACCUAUAAGACUGGGAUAACUUCGGGAAACCGGAGCUAAUACCGGAUAAUAUUUUGAACCGCAUGGUUCAAAAGUGAAAGACGGUCUUGCUGUCACUUAUAGAUGGAUCCGCGCUGCAUUAGCUAGUUGGUAAGGUAACGGCUUACCAAGGCAACGAUGCAUAGCCGACCUGAGAGGGGUAUGGCCCACACUGAAACUGAGACAGGGUCCAGACCCCUAGGGGAGGAAGAAGUGGGGAAUUUUCCGAAAUGGGAGAAACCCUGAGGGGGCAACCCCGCGUGAGUGAUGAAGGUUUUGGGAUUGAAAAACUCUUUUAUUAGGAAAAAAAAUAUGUGUAAUUAACUGUCAACAUUUUGACGGUCCCUAAUAAAAAAGCCCCGGCUAACUACGU
rnacentral:rRNA from 1 species